rnacentral:lncRNA from 1 species
CAUCCAUUCUGUUUUAAAAGUGCAGUUACAAUUUUUGCAUUGAACAUUGUUUUUGCUUUGCUAUUAAAAAUUUUUAACAUCAAGAAAUGACACUUGUGACUUCUCACUUCUGAAUUAGUUGGAUGACAUCAGCUCUUCAGAAGGCAGCACUAUAGAUAUUAAACCAGAGGUAGAGGAAGCGGUGGUGGUGGAGGCAGUAGAGGAAUAUGUUGACCCUGAAGCUUGCUGGACUGAAGGUUGUGUGGCCCGCUACAAGUGUUGUGAUGUGCCCAUCACGGAGGGCUGGGGUAAGAACUGGUGGUUCCUCCGGAAGACCUGCUAUCUCAUUGUGGAGCACAACUGGUUUGAAACCCUCAUCAUCUUUAUGAUCCUCCUCAGUAGUGGAGCAUUGGUGAGAAUGUACACAAACACACACAAAUUUCUUCUAGGGACGUAACAAGUACUGUGUUCUAUAUUUAACUACUUGAGCAGGAAAAAAGCUACUUAAAUAUUGCAUAUUGAUUUACUGUAGCUUACUGUAGUUUCUAACAGGAUUCUAACAGGUGGUGUUCUAAUUAGGGGUGUAACAGGAUUCUAACAGGUGGUGUUCUAAUUAGGGGUGUAACAAUAUUCAAUCCGAACCGAAAAACCACGAUACAUAUCACGGUACUCUCUGUACAUACUGUGGUCUGCAAAGAUUCAAGCAAAGAAUAAGCGCUUGAGAACUCGUGCGUACUGUUUGAAGAUGUGUGUGUGUGUGUGUGUGUGUGUGUGCGUGUGUACACACACACAGAGAGCCUCAUCAGACAGUGUGUGCCGCACACAUAUUGAUUUCUCUUUCAUGAAAUGCAUCUGAACUGACAAACUAACACAAAAAAAUAUGUAAACAUGCCCGUCUUUGUGAGUAUCCUUGCAAACAUCGUUGGUCAUGUUUUGUAACUGUAAAUGUAAACAGUCAAGAAAGACAACACAUGUAUAUCAGUAUCAGUGUACUGGAUCUGUGAAUCGUGUCUUAAGGGAACAGAAGUCUAUUCCUGCUGUCUGUGUUUAGCUUUUAGCUUUUGAAACUUCAGCAAGGAUUGAUCUUAGUUAUUUUACAUUUAUUUUUAUUUGACUAUAGCACAUACCGAACCGUGACCCCAAAACCGUGAACCGAACUGAACAGUGAGCAAUCUGAACCGUUACACCCAGGGCCUAAAAUUAACACUUGUCAAGUGUCAAAUGCGAGUAAAAAUCAACUUCGGCGAGUACAUGAAACUGUGUACAGUACCUUACCUUAAUUUACCUUAAUUGAACAUUUUACUUAAUUCUAACAGUGCAAUGUUGCAAGAACAUAAACGUGAACAAAGCUCCGUACAGUUGUCGGGUCAGUGCUGCUUCAUCACAAAAAUAUGAGCCUUUGCAAUGUAAAUAUUCAAGAGCUAGAACACACUAAAGGACACGUGUUACUCACGCGCUGUGUGGGAAGUUUAAACAUCUGAAGCCCCGGCCUGAAAGUCACAAGAAUCUCUGCUUCCUUCCUGCACUUGAACGGACAAAUUCAUACAAAAUUAUGUCAAAAAUACCCGUCUCGGUGAGUUUCCUAGUAAAGUAGUUGGUUCUUAAGUGAACAUGAACAGCUGAGAAAGAAACCGAACACAAACCGCUCGUGACGCUGUCAAAAGAAAAUAGAAGCCAUUAUAAUCAGUGAUAAUGUCUACACAGGAUGUGGCAUGGAGCGGCGUGGCACGACAAAUCCCCGAAAGUAAACGGAUUCCCUGUUCUAUUACUAUUUCUAGUCCAAGUAACGUGCACUUUGUCGCAUCCAGCAACUUCAAACUGCUGUGGUGUAGAUACAGAGUUUAAGUGAUAGAAACAGAAUUCCAAUAAUCCUGCUGUUGUGCGUUUUUAGUAUUGAACAAAGAAAAUAGGACAAAGAAAAAAACAGUCACUCACUACUCUUGAACUUUAAAAAAGAUAUAAACACUAUAGUGUUAUUUGAUUAGCAUAAUUUAUUACAUUUCUGUAGGCUACCUCAAAAUAACUGUUAGACCUGCCUGAAAUGCAAAGUUUCCAUUUCUAUCUUUGUUGUAUAGUAGGCUAUUUUGUACUAUUGCUUGUAAUUUGAUUUGCUCUUAUUUUACAACUGACUAUUUACUAGUCUUUAAAAAUGUAGCCUAUUAAAUGUAUAUUGGUAAAGCUAGUAGUUUUAUCAGUUAUCGAAACUGGAAUCAAGGAAUGUGUAUUUUUUUUUUUUUUUUUUUUUUGUCUGUUAUCUAAAAUUGUUGUAUCAUACCUGCCUAUUUUUUCUUUAUUUUAAUUUUUUUUCAUGGCUGGUUAAAAAUAUUUCUGGCCUAUAAAUUUCCUUAAGUCACCGGCCAUUGGCAGGUUUGGAUAAAAGUUAGUUUUAGGCCCUGGUUACACCCCCCUGGUUACCCCUAGUUCUAACAUUGAAAACAUGCUUGUUUUUUGUGCUUUAAAAAAUAAAUAAAUACAUAAAUAGUACAUCGGUGGCAACUUAUUUUCAUUAUGUUUUGAAUUCUACCUGACCGUUACAUUAAUGUUGAUGUGAGGUUUAUAUAAUGUGAGGUUCAAGCAGGCAUUGUCUCAUUGUAAAGACCUGACGCCAGAGCUGCACUGCUUUGUGAUUUGAUUAAUGGAUUGAACUAUUCAUCCAAUUGGAUCUAUUUCUGUCACUGGAAAUGUGUCUGUCGUUAGCACUGCUAAUGUUGCCAAAAAAGGAAUGUAAUAGAAUCAGGGAUCUUGCCUUAUACAAUUGCUUUUUGAAAGCUGACUCUGUUUUAACUUAAUGCACCAAGAAGUAGCUUUCUGUUCAGUUGUUUUUCCAGAUAAUGUUGUGC